AGGGUACCACCAAGAGUGGAGCCUGCGGCUUAAUUUGACUCAACACGGGGAAACUCACCCGGCCCGGACACCGGAAGGAUUGACAGAUUGAUAGCUCUUUCUUGAUUCGGUGGAUGGUGGUGCAUGGCCGUUCUUAGUUGGUGGAGCGAUCUGUCUGGUUAAUUCCGAUAACGAACGAGAUUCUGGCCUAUUAAAUAGAGGUCGGGUUCUCUGCACUCGACGGUCUUCUUAUAGAGGGACAAGGUGCUUUUAGCAUCGCGAUACAGAGCAAUAACAGGUCUGUGAUGCCCUUAGAUGUCCGGGGCCGCACGCGCGCUACACUGAAGGAAGCAGCGUGUAACAACCUUGUUCUAACGAACUGGGUAACCCGUGGAACUUCCUUCAUGAUUGGGAUAGGGGUUUGCAAUUGUGCCCCUUGAACGAGGAAUUUCCAGUAAACACUAGUCAUCAGCUAGUGCUGAUUACGUCCCUGCCCUUUGUACACACCGCCCGUCGCUACUACCAAUUGAAUGGUUUAGU
rnacentral:rRNA from 1 species